rnacentral:lncRNA from 1 species
UUGCAAAUUUCUGAAUAUAAAAUAUUUUGAAAAAAAAGGUCUUGAUGAAAAUAAUUAAAAUACCAUCUACGACUUGUCAGAUAUUUGACAAGAAAGACUUGUGUGGUUUAUAUGAUACUUAUAUCUUUUUAAAACAAUAAUGUACUUAGUGGUAUAUAUAUGUACUUAAAAUCAGGAUGGUCUGUAGACCAUUUGACGGAUUGUCUAGCAAAUUGUAAUUCAGCAAAUCAAACAGUCUGAAUAUUGUCAAUAUAUGUCACAGGGUUUAAACUACUUCAGAAUCAUUAGGAAGUCACUUCUCUUUUUGUGGGAAGUGUUGACACUUAUCAAGAUAAAUGCUCAUUCUAUCAUGCCACAAUAGCGCUUGGUACGCCUGUAAUUUGUAUUGUGUUGUUUUCAUUUUUAUAAGGUUUGGUUUUUAAAAAUAAUAUAUCUUGC